rnacentral:rRNA from 1 species
AAGCGCUUGCAAUCAGACUUGCACUUGGUGUUCAUCAGGGUCUCGUACCCUGUGUACUUCAUCAAGUUCAGGCCAGCAUCAGUUUUCCCCGGGGGAUAAAGGCGGCGGGAAUGUGGCUCUCUUCGGGGAGUGUUAUAGCCCACCGUGUAAUACCCUGGGGGGGACUGAGGUUCGCGCAUCUGCAAGGAUGCUGGCGUAAUGGUCAUCAACGA